CGUUCUUAGGGCAUGUUUGGUUCAUCUAUUUUAAACUAUAAAAUUGAAAUGGAAUUUAUUGAUUCCGAUAAUUGCUGUUUGUUUUAUAGGAAUCGAAUUACGAUUUCCAUUCCACUCCGGAAUGGGAAUGGCCAAAUUCAUUUAUAAUCUAAUCCAACUUUGAAUUCCGAAUUGGCUCAUUCCAAAAUAUACUAUUCAAAAUACUUUUUCAUCAACACCUACCUCCUCUCCCUUCAUCAGUUUUCUCUCUCUUAAUUAAAAUCCUCUUUCAAAAAUUUUAAAUUUUCAUUCCAAUUUCCAUUCCAAUAAUGAACGAAACAUUUUUGGAUGAUUCGUCAUUUCAUUUUCCAUUCCAAAGCAAUUCAAUUCCAUUUCCCACUCCUAUUCCAAUCAUGAACCAAACAUGCCAUUAGAGUAAGUGGCAAAAGAUUUGAUGGUUGGUAUCUGAGAUCCCAAAUUCGAAACCUAGUUGAUUCACAUUUCCAGCUAAGUUUAUUUCUAAAUGAAAUAAACUAAGCGGGUAGCAUGCUACCUAUCUCUUAAAAAAAUAUAUAUAUAUUAAAAAAAUGUGCUGAUACAAAGAGCGUAUUUAUAAUACUUAAGGACUCAGUCAUAGCACUCGCGGGUUUCGACCUGGCUCAACCCAUCUAGAUAUGGAAUUUAUUGUUGGGCCUUUUGCCGUUAGACCUCUUAUGGACCGCAGCCCCACUUAACUUAUUAGCCUCACUAAACUCAAUUUAUUAGUCUUUUGGGCUUAUUAUCACGCGGCAGAAAGUUAGACCUAUUUUAGCCCAAUAAUAAAUAGUCAAUAUUUUUUUGCCACAAAUAUUUCACAUAGAAACAAUAUUAUUCAGUUAUACAUUUUUAUCUUAAAUAAAAGUAUAAGAUGCUUCGCAAUUUUUUUUUUUUUAUUUUUUAUUUUUUAUUUUUUAUUUUUNUUAACUUAUUAGCCUCACUAAACUCAAUUUAUUAGUCUUUUGGGCUUAUUAUCACGCUGCAGAAAGUUAGACUUAUUUUAGCCCAAUAAUAAAUAGUCUUUUUUGCUGUAACAAUUAUUUUAUAUAAGAAUAAUUUUGUCUAAUCAUAUAUUUUUAUUUUACAAAUGAAAAUUUUGUUUCGCAUUAUUUGAGCUUUGAAGUCAUUAUAUUGCCAAUAAUAUAAUAAUCUCUACAAAUCUUAUGUUAAGGGCCCAUUAACCCAUGUUUUUCCCAACACUGCAGAACAAGCCCAGUAGACCACAGCCUCAUCCUCCCACUUUUAGGGGGACAAACCCAUUUACCGUUUUUGUCUUGUUCGUUGACCUUUUGGCUCAGGACUAUCUUAAGUCAACCAACAUAACAUGAUCUACUAUUUUUGUUCAACUCAGAUUAAAGUCCUACGUUACCACACGUCGCAUGCUUUUUAAUUAGCUUAUUGGCAGGUUAAAUGAGAUCUGCGGCACUCCAAUAGUCAAUUAUCGAAUGAUAAUAAGAUUUGAGAGCUGUAAAAAAAAAUUAAUGAUUAGCAUAUUAUCAGAGACAUGUCUUGUUCUAACAUUUCAGGUCUAUAGUUUGAGAUACUAGGUAAUUCGACUAAGUUGAAUUAGAUCCUGACUCCUGAGUAGAGAUAACAAUUGCCAUUUUGCGACUACUUGAUGUCUAGGCAUGAACUUGAACUUUCAUAAUUACAAUUUUUCAUGUUUACAUAUGAUAGAUUUUUAACUCGCUAGGUGGUACAAGUCCAAGAGACUUCCUAAGCCAAACUUCUUUUUUUUUUUUUUUUUCCUUUGUAAGAAAUGCUACAUCUUAUCCAGAUGCUUAAACAAUCUAGUUUGAUGUUUAGCAUUAAAAAGAAAAUACAAAAGUAAUAAGACUGAUGUGAAAAAAAAAAAAAUUUCUUUGAUGGGAAAAAAAUGCAUGAUUUAGCUCUACAUACUACUCACUUCAUUCAUUUGCUUUUAAAACCAAACUUACUUAAAAAUGUAAAAUAAUUAAAUUUUUUGAAAUUUUGGAUAUCAAUCAUUAAGACUUUUGACACUUGAACUAGGAGACAAACUAUUUCCUGUCCCCUUACGGAUCUCCGAAAGGAAACGGAGGAACUGCUUUUUCCACAAGCUGAGUACUAUAAAAUGUCAUUCCUUACAAAACUCUCUCUUCAUCUCACAUUCAAUCAAAUCAACCAAAGUUGAACAUGUCUAAUAUAGAGACAGAAGCACCAGCAAUACCUACGUCGGCAGCCGCCGACGCCGCUGUGUCGAUGGAGGCCGAGGACGGGCGCGAUGUUCAAAGUCGCAAUCUCCAUAUCCACGAUAGCUUCCUGCGGCAUUCUCUGCUCUCCGACCAUCGGACAUGGCGGCGGUAGCAGCGUACCGAGGUCGACGACGUCGCGUUACAAAUUCUUCGCGGUGUUUUAUGCGGUCGCGAUGCUCGCAGCAUUCACUCUUGGGUUUCUUCUUCUGGUGCUCUCGGUGCCGGUUGGGCCCCAGCAGAGGGCCGCGGCCGCCACCGCCGCAAGGAAGCUGAUCAUGUGGGUUAGUCUAUGGAUGGUUUAUGUUGCUGUGGUCGCUGAAACUUUUGUAGCAUUGGUGGAAAGCUUAGAAACUUGAGAAGUAGCACACAUGAGGUAUGCUGGAUAUGUAUAGGAGAAGUAUUGGAGGUAUAAUUGGGAAUGGGGAGUGCAUGGUAAGCAAGAUGUCAGGACUCAAAAAUUUUUUCCGAGAUUUUUCUUUUCAAUCACUCAAACUUCAAAAUGGAUAUCUGUCGGAGGUUCUGCCUGAAUCUUCUAGAAGCUUCUAUGUGGAUCUCGAGACUGAUGGCGCAGGAACCAAAAAAUCUCUUAGAGUUUCUAUAUUUCUAAAAGACUUAUUUAUUAGGACUCUUGGGAGCUCGUAACCUCUCCUUUUGGCUUAUAGUUUUGUGCCACUUGGUAUCUUUCUAUUUGUUUUAUAGGCGGCUAGUGGCUUUUAAAUAGUUGUGACCUCCACCCUAAACUCAGAAUCCUUAUUUGUAUUCUCUCUACUUCAAAGUAAUAAAAGGACUUUUUUCAUAUUUCUCUUGUAUUUAGUCUAGGACGAGUGAGGUCCUAACUUAGCAAGCAGAAAAGCAGGCUUGUCCAUUUUCGAGCAGGAAGGCGGGCGCCGCACGGACUUUGCGAACAAAGCCGUUAAUUCCGUGACAAAGAGGAUUGGAGAUGUAUCAUAAAAAUGUUAAGUAAGAUGAUUAUAACAUAGAAAAAGGUAAAAUCUUAGUUAGUUAGGCCAUUUGACCAGUUCAAAAAUUAUACGUGUUAGACACUCAUAAUAUAUGCUUUGUUCAUAUCGGAUGAAAAAGUAAUUCUAAUUAGAAUAUAUGAGGCCUGGCACGCUAGUUAAAAUAACUGAAUGUAAGUAUUUUGGAUAGGUGGUUUGGGCCUAACGAAUUAUUAUUACUAGCAGAUCGGACUGUUAUAAUUAGUACCAAAGCCGAAUACCAGUUGCUAAUAAUAAUUAAGCUCAUAUGGUGUUAUUAUUGCUAAGCGGGCAACAAAUUGCAAAAAUAUAUGCUUUACAAGCAGUUUAGUUAUUUCAUAUUUUCAACUAAGUUAUUUUGUGAUAAAAUAAAUAAAUAAAUAAUGAAAAUAUGUGCUUUACAAACAGUCUAGUUAUUUUAUAUUUUCAACUAAAUUAUUUUCUAAUAAAAUAAAUAAAUAAAUAAAGAAAAAGGAUAGCAUGUUAGAUAGCAUGUUACCGUUCUCUCUUUAAAAAAAAAAUUGCAAAUUAUCUAAGACUCAUAUUCCUAAUUUAAUUCUAGACCAAAUAAAGCACUUGGAUUGGACUGGGCUGCGAGAAUGCAUACUGUGCCACCAUAAAUUUUAAAAAUUAAAUAGUCAUAUUUUAUCUAAAUUNAUAUAUAUAUAUAUAUCGAUCCGACCAUAUGAUAGGCUAUCGUGCCUCCGAGGCCAUCGUGCCUCCGGAGGCACGAUGGUUCAACAAAAGUUACUACGCCGAAAGUUUAGCUGCUAGCCGAGGCAAUCUGAACUAGAUGUGAUAACUUUCAUAAACCUUUGAUUUAAAGUAUUAAAAAGCUGUAGUAAACCGAUCACUAGUUUCCCGGAGUUUUAACUGUUAAUAUAUAUAUAUAUAUAUAUAUAUAUAGGGUCCGGCUACUAUACUAUUAUGAGUACGAUCGCUCUCGUACUCAUAAAUCGUCUUCGAUGAUAGAGCUUUCGAAUCAAUGAUUCAUACCGUUAAACAUUAUUUACGGUAUUUAAAAUUUCUAGAAAUCAAAUUUUAUAAUUUUUUGAAAUCAUUUAUCUUACAAUUAAGAGGUCACAAAUUUAACAAUUUUUAAUGGCCGGUAUGGGAUACUUGCUAGUUUAAUGGUGUAAAAGAAUCGAAAUUUGUUGAAUUUUUGAUAGAAAAUUCUAUUCACUACCUAGAUAAAAAUCAAUAACUUCGAUCUUGAGUUGAAGGAUCCGAUCAUCCAUUCUAAGUCGUUCGAUUUUGACCGUUCAUUUUAUGCCCGCUUGAUGGACUUUAUUAUGAUUUCGAAAAUUUACGAAAUUUAUUUUCUAGAAGUUUCAAAUAUUCUAGAUCAUAUUUAAUGGAGUGGAUCGUCGAUUCGGAAGCUCCAUCAUUGAAAAUAACUUAUGAGUACUAGGAUUCCAAUACUCAUAAUAGUAUAGUAGCCAUGGCCUAUAUAAGUAUAUAUAUAUAAAGCAAGGCUACUGUGCUAUUAGGAGCACAGUAGGCCUUAUGCUCCUAACUUUCUAACCACCCAUCAAAUUUGAUGGAUGGUUAGAAUAAGAUAAGGAAUUAGAGAUAUUGGGAAGAGAUAAAUGUAUACUUGAAAUAACUAGGAACGUAAAAGGGGUAUUUUUAAUAUUAACUUUCUAAGAGGAAUAAAUUAGAAAAUCGAAAACUUUUCAGCAGUAUAAAGGCAAUUGCCCCUAUUUAAUAUAAAAUGAUUUAAAAUUUUAAUUUGAAUCCUUGCUCUUCCGAAAUAAAAUUUUAGUAUCCUCUUUUUAUUAAUCAGCUAAAAGAUGAUAAGAUUAAAAAAAAUUGUUUUAAAAAAAAAGCUAAAUUGAUAAUUUUUAUUUUAAAUAAGAUUAAAGUAUAGAAUUCAGUCACAAAGUUCAUCCAAACAUGCCCUAAUUCAUAGGGCACCGACAUUUCUCAAGUCAUUGUCCAAAUUUCCAUCUGCCGUCGUCUGAAGUGUUGAUUUGUAACAACUUAGAUAAAAUUCGUAGAACUAACUUAAAACUUUGAACGACUUGGAAACAAUUAUGUGAAUUGAAAAUUUUCCUUGCGUGAUCUCUUCAUCUGCCCUCUAUUGCAUUUAACAAAUUAUCUUUUCUGAGAAAAAGACUGUAGGUUGUUGGCAUCAUUCACUGAGCCCUUAUUUGGGUGUUUUUUUUUACAAGAAAGGUAGUAUGUUACCCGUUUCGUUUAUUUUAUUUAGAAAUAAACUUCACUUAUUUUGGUGUCAAAAUAACUUAUUUGGUAUGGAACUUUUUCGGUAUGAUUGUAGUUUAAUUUUUUGUUUCUUAAUUUACAAGUUUUGCUCUCCCUGAAAGAAUAAUUUGAAAACCGAAUAUAAUAUUCUAUUUUAAAUAUUUGAUUGUAUUUUUUAUCUAUCAAAUAAAAUUUUUUUGAAAAAAAUUAAGAAAACAAAUGGAUAUUCGUUCACUAAUUAAAGAGGGCUUAAAUGCUAUGAAUUUUGCAAAUAUCAGUGUGGCAACUAGGUAUUCCAUUCUAAAUAUUUUAUUAUAUUUUAUAUCUAUUAAAUGAAUAAAAUUUUUAAACAAAUUAAAAAAUUAUUAUUUAUACAUUAUCCAACAAGAAUAUCGUGAGAAAUUAAACACCCAUCAUUAUCUUACAAAGAAUUUUUUUUUUUUUUUUUGAGAUAUAGAUAGCACGCUACCCGUUUCGUUUAUUUUAUUUAAAAAUAAACUUAGUUAGAAAAGUAAAUCAACUAGAAUUCGAACUUGAGUUUCAAAUACCAACCAUCAAGUCUUUUGCCACUUGCUAUGGAAAAGAUUGGUUUUCAAAGGAUAUAUAUUGACAUGGCCAUUUAUCACACACAGUUUUGUACAGUAAUAUAAUCGAGGGUAGAGCUGAGGGGAGAACAAAGCAAAGUACGUAGUUGUUUAUUUAUGCUUUCAAUACACGAAAAAAAAAAAAAAAAGAAAAAAAAAGAGAAAGUAGUACACACCAAAAGUGGCAAAAUAAAGUAGCACAUCAUAUACCUGGGACAAGACAAGUACCCAAAUAAAAGACACGCACGAAGCCCCUGCACCCAUGCACAGCCAUGGACGUGCGUUCACGCGUGAUUAACGUUUGCUUUCGAAUUGAGGACGGAGUAAGCCUUCGCCGCCACAGCUAACAGCGGGACCAAGAACACGACGGCCACCGCCGUGCGCUCGGCGAAUGCCACAGCACUCGGCCGAGGGAGGCGGAGGCGGAGGAGGAGGAGGAGUAUGGCGAGGAAGAGGAGAAUGGCGAGGAAGAGGGCGGCGUAGGCGACGGAGAGUGCGCCGGGAAGGGAAUUUGCUAUUGGGCAGUAGGUGGUGGACCCCACGAUCACCGUCUCCGUUAUCGCCCCCAUCACGACUUUAACGGCGUUGGAUCCGUCGGCGGCGGCUCCCCCUCCUCCUUCCGCUUCUGCAGCAACUUGAUCACCUUCCCCUCCUCCUUCCACUACUACUACAACUUCACCUCCCCCUCCUCCUUGUUCCUCUGCUCCUACAACUCCACCACCCUCUCCUCCUAUUACAUUCAUCGUCGCUCACCUUGUUAACGAAAUGUGUACGUACCUGAACCAAUAUAAUCUACAUGCCCAGCCCUUCUUCGUCCUGUAUACACUCGUAAAGGUUACUGUGAUAGCCCAGCCCAAACGAAUUUAUGAUGGUUGGGUCAGGGGGUGUGCUGCGUCAAAGAGGAGUGAUCAAAAGUUAGUGUGAAUGGCCGCACGGAGGGAUUUGGUCAGUUGAUAUAAUAAAUACACUCGUAAAAGUUACUGUCAAUUGCACUACGGAGCGAUAUUAUGCAUGGUAACUGGAUUUUUGUUUUCCCGCGACCAAAAGCGGAACAGGAUUUUGGGGGCUAUUUUGUUUUCACAAUAAUUUUAUACAAAUUUAUAAUCUGUUAAAAUAAUUUUUUAAAAAAACUUCAAAUACCAUCCAUGUGAUUUUGCACUGUCUCACUUUAGCACCCUAUAUAUGGUUUAAAGUGUAUCAAUUUAGUGCCAUAUGAUUUUAUUUUUCUUUUUUUAUUAUUAAUUCUACUAAUUUUUUCUUUAGGUCAGUGACAAAGUUAAAACUAAAAGGUACUAAAAUGAAUAUGCGACAAACCUAGGUGGGAAUUUGAAGUUUUUUUUGUAUAAACCUAGGUGGGAAUUUGAAAUUUUUUUUGUAUAUAAUUUAACAAAAUAUUAACGGAGAAUCUGAUGAAAAGAAAAAAAAUGAAACCACAACGCACUAAAUUGAUACACUUUAAACCACGGAAUACUAAAGUGAGAAAGUGCGAAACCACAGGAGUAGUAUUUGAAGUUUAUCCUAAUUUUUUUUAAAUUUUACUUGAUCAACUAAACAUUCUUUUCCCAAUUCAGUAUCAUAUUAGGGGGGGGGGAGUACAGAGAAUCAUCUAUCAACUUUUGUUAAAAUGUUUAUAUGAUUUUUAGAAUUAUAUAUAAUUUCUUUGUUACAGAAAAGAAAGAAAAAAAAAAAGAAGAAAGGCACGUCAUCUAAAUUAUUAAAGACAGCAAUUGAUUCAUUAUCUUCUAAUUAUUUUGUAAGCUUAUAUUAUUUCUCAACCAUACCCAACUAAAAGUUUACGAGCUUAACAUUGCCGGGGGUUUGGGGCCAUGGGGCCGGGGGGCUUUUUCACAAUAAUUUUAUAAAGAAAUUCUAAUUUGUCAAAUAAUUUUUUAAAAAUCUUAUUUGAUCAACUAAUUAAUUAUCAUUUUGCCAAGUCAUUUUUAGAUUGUAAUUACUUUUUUUUAUAAAUGUUAGAAUUGUAUGAAUAGAUUGCUAGUACUUUUUAUGUUGCUAGGGUUAUAUAUGUAAUGUUUGUUAAUGGAAAGACAAUAAAUAAUUUAUUGUCUUCUAAAUUUUUAUUAAAGAGACAAUUAUUUAUAUAUUCCUGAAACGUCAUCAGCUUUCUAAUUUAUUCAUCUUAAAAGGCUAAUAUUAAAAAUACACUUUCAACGUUCCAAGUUAUUUCAAAUAUAUCCCUAAAGUUAAAUUCUGUUAGUGAACGGCUAGCAACAACUGUUAUUUUUGUAAAAUUACUAUUUUACCCUUUCGAAUAUAUCCUUUUAUUAUCACCAUUUUUUUUAUUUGUCCUUUAAGUAGUUAGGGACAAAAAGAAUAUUUUAAUUUUCGGUCUUUUCAAAUAUAUUUUUGUACCAUCAAUGAUUUUUCUUAUUUGCCUUUAAGUUAAGAGCAAAAAAGGUAUUUUGAUUUUUUUUUCUUAACUCUGUAGAUAUUUAACUCACGUUUAAUCCGAGAUAACUCAACGAAUGGUAACUGCGAGAGUAUUUUUGAAUAAUGGAGGAACAUACGAAAGACAUAUUUGAAAUUUUAAAAAAAAGUAAUGAUAAAUUAGAUAUUUUCAAAAUUUUGAGGAGUAUAAAGGCAAUUAUUUAUUUAUUAAAACUAAUAAAAAUUAGAUGAGAUAAAAUUAUUUGACCAAAUAAAAGUUUUAAAAUUUUAUUUAGUAAAUUAUAAACUUUUAAAGUGUUAAAUUGAAAAUUUUAAAACAAAAAAGUCCAGCUGUCGCUUUGGAGACCCACGCGUGCGCUGGAUUGUGGGAAAUUCCUUGGUAGAUAGGGGAGGGAGGGGCGGCGUAACGGGUCGGGUGGGCCGGGGCAUCGUUUUUGCGAGAAAAAUUCUACCCCCACAUCUCAUCUCAUUUUGGAAUGAUGAUGCACUUUUCAUGAUACUUUGAAAAGGUUUGUGGUGAUCGUUUUCACAAUAAAAUUUUGUGAAAAACUUCUAAUUUAUCAAAGUAAUUUUUUAAAAAAAUUUAUUUGAUCAACUGAUCAUCUUUUUGUCGAUCUAUUCACUAUUCUUAGAUUAUUGUUAAUUGCUUUAAUAGAUUGUACCGACCCUCUCUAGAGCAAGUGGCAAAGGACUUGGUGGUUGGUACCCGAGAUCCAAGUUUGAAUCCUAGUUGAUUCACAUUUCCAACUAAAUUUAUUUCUAAAUGAAAUAAACGAAGCGGGUAGCGUGCUACCUAUCUCUCUCUCUCAAAAAAAAUUGCAUUUAUAUAUUGUAAAAAUUUUUGUAUGAGUUUUAAAAUUGUAUGCGAAUUAUUAAAAUUUUUAUUUAAUUGUUGGAAUUAUAUGGAUAAGUUGUGAGUUUUAAGUUGUUAGAAUUAUACAUAGUCAUUUUUGUUAAGAGAAAGAUGGUGAAUGAUUUACUGUCUUCUAAAUUUUAUUAAAAAUAAUAAAUGAUUCACAAUCUUUUAAUUAUUCUUUCAUCUCACUACUAGGACGAAAUAGAGUUAUCUGGCUAAAUAAAAUAUUUAAACAAUUAUUCAACAAAUUAUAAAAUUAUAAAAUAUUAAAUUGAAAAAAUGUCCUGCUAUUGCUUUGAGAACAUCGUGAGUUAUUUUGGAAGUGAGAUGGCAUGACCCAAUUGUUACGGUCCCGACUAUUCUAUUCUAUUCAUUUAUUAACUGUUUAGAGUUAGGAGACCGCUUAAUUUUUUUUACUUAAAUUUUAUAUUUAGUUUAGUUAAAAAUUUUAUAAAGUUCAAUAAAUUUAUUAGUCUUUUCAAAUUUAACAAUCAAAUUAAAUCAAAUUUAAUAUUAAAUUCAAUACUUAAAAUUUUAAAAAAAUAUUUUAACUUUUAAAUUGAUUGGAUAUAAAAUUUAGAUCAGUAAUUUUAUUACCGACCUGUUUAUUUUGGUCCUUUGUCCUUGUUAGAAUUUGGGAAGGAAAAAUGCACCAUGCACCCCCUAAAAGGAGGUUCGAAUUUGGGAAGGAAAAAUCCACCAUGCACCCCUAAAAGGAGGUGCAUGGAAUAUACACAUGUAACCCAUCCAUCCUAGAAAAAAUUCUAGAAUGCAACAGAUAUAUUGAUGACGUGACGUAACAAAUCAAUCAAUUAUCUCCUUUUAAGAGUAUAUGUCCCAUCAUAAUUGUAAAAUAAUAUUUUUAUUAUAUUUUUGGUUGAAAAAAAAGAAUGUGAUUGAUUUAUUAUUGAUGACGUAGUGCAAGUGUGAUAGUAUAAAAUUCCUUCCAUCCUAGGGUGAGAUGAUAGUGUUUACUUGUCACAUCAUUUUCAUUGUUUUAAUGAGUUGAAAUAAUGAGACAAAUAAAAAACUAUCAUCUCACUCGAUGUGAAAGUCAAACUAAUCAUCCCACCCUAAUUACACCCUAAGCACAUUUGGGAAGGCUUAAUUACAGCCAAGUCCCCUACCCAAAAAAGAAAAAAGGAAAAAAAAAAAAACGCAAUUUAAUGGACAGCAAAGAUUAAAGCAGAGAUUGAGAUGCAGGGUUGAAGGGGAACGGGGCACCAACCUAGUGCACCUCAUAUUGGCAAUAAAUGAUUUCAAAAAUUUGCUAUUAUUUAAUUUUACAUAACAAUUUUCUAAAUGUCUUUUAACCAAAUUGUAGUUUCAUCAAUAUUUUCUUAGUAUCUCUGGUGUCUUUAUAAAUAUCAAAAAUAUUUUCAAACAUUCCUAAUAAUAGAACUUUAUUUAAAUCGAAUAAAUUAUUUCUAAAUUUUAUUUUUCACCUUCCAAUGAGCUAAAAACUUAGUAAACUUACUUGUAGAUGAGUAAUUUCCACAAAUUUAGUAUGCUCUUCUAAAAAAAUUAAUGAAAUAAAAAUGAUUGGUCAUAAACUUAAUGAGGAAUAAAAAAAAAAUUAUGCUAUAAGUUAUAAAAUAAAAGAAUAAAUCGUAAUUGUAUUAAUAUUUUGCCUUUAAGAAAUAGUUAAGGGCAAAUUGGGUUCAAGUUAUGCAGCAUUACAGAUUAUUUCAAUAUAACCAAGUAUCUGAAAAUUUUAAAUCAGAUACUGCAUUACCAUAUUUGGUUUAAUAGAGUAAUAUAAUGCUGAAUUUCAAUAUUGAAUUACUAUGUUUGACUCAGUUUAUAAAAUUUAUUAUUAGCUUAUUGCAAAAUUCUUCUUAUGCUAUAUUUAAUAUGUUUUUACUAAACAAUAAUUUAAUAUAAUUUACACUUGAAUUAAUUCUAUUAAUAAACAAUAUAAAUGAAAAGACCAUAUAUAAAAAAAUUAUAAAGUCAAAAAUUAAUCUCAAUCCAUAAGAAAAAAAAUAAAAAAGAUCAUAUUACAUACUCAUACGAUCAAAAAAUAAAUAAAAUUCAAUUUAGAAACUUAUUUAUAAGAAUUCGUACGAAUAUAAAUAGAGGAAGAGAGGGAGAGAAAGAGAGAGAAAGAGAUAAGAAAGAGAUAAAAUUAACAUAUUGAAAAAGAUUUUCUUUUAGAGGAGAGGUUAGAGGGGUAAGAAUUUUAGAUAAUAUGCAAGAUUAUGCACCAUUAGUAAUAUAAAAUGUCUGCCCACCCACUCCAUAAUAUGUUCAAAAAAAUUUUACUUCAUUUGUAAUGUUACGUUAUCAAACGUAUUACAGAUAAUGAACCAUCAGCAUUGCAUGUGAUCAUGGCAAAAUAAUCCGAACCAAAUGCACCCUGAAAGUAAAAUUUUUGUUUCACCCUGGAAGUAAAAUUGUUAUUUGGUUGAUUUAACUAGUUUAACCUUUAUUUAACUAAAGAAGAGGCACUUUGGACAAUCCACCUAAAUAACUCUUAUUUGGAAUCUAUUGUAUAUAUAGGUUGUGACGUCUUAAACAGAUAAAAAAAAAUUCUGUUCAUUCAGUGGGCCUGAUAACUUGCCCAAUGAGUGUUUCCCUUGCGGGCUUAGAACAUGAUUACAAAAGAAAUUUAUUUUAGUUACCUACAUCCACUGCUUCCUCUCAAAGGGAAGCCAAUUUUGACCACAAGCCAUACAUGUGGAAUUAGGAAACAAAGACGAGUUAGUUAGGUUCAAUUAAGAGCCUGCAAAAUUCGAACUCAAACGAAUCUUAUCUAAGCGAUGAUAAAUGGAAUAAUUUAAAACCACCCUCACUCAGUUGAGAUUCGCAAUCCCUCAAUAUAGACAUGAGUUAGUAUCUUAGUAUGAUUCUUCCUACACUACUAGUAUUCUGCAGCUACAGCAAAAGGCAAGGAACAUUUAAUAAAAGGUUGUUAGCUCACUUGUACAUAAGUCUAUUCAAACUGCAGUCCUGCAGAAGCUCAAAUCGGCCGAAUAAGCCCCUUCAUAAACAUCAAACAAAUAAAUCUCCGUGUAUAACACCCAUCCAACAGUUCUCACAUUAAUCAGACAGCAAAAGACCACGGAAAAAUUGUUGGCGCUCCUUAAAACUCGGUAAUUCGGGCACUCGAAAUCAUUAAAACACUUUUAUUUUCAUACUAUACAUACGUUAAACCACAUAUAGUAAUUAAAUUUCAAGCCCUUUAACAAUUAACUUCUUUUCUAGUCUUCAUUGCGAACUUCGAUUUGUAUAUUUUUAUCUCAAUAUCUAAUCCUGUACAAUUAAAUUCAUAAUCAUUCACCUCUGAACUAAUCAUAUAAGAUUCAAAUCCUUAACAGAGUUUCAUCUUGUGUGUAGUAAUUAGUAUAAUACAGUAUGCGGCCGGUGCAUUCCAACACUACACCAAGAAGCAUAUACAAAGAUACAUAAGUAUGAGAACUUUUUUAACAGCAAAUUUUCAGUAUCGUGUGAUAUUUUGUUGUUUACAGAUACCCAAAAAAAGGAUCCACAUUCCAAACAAUAUGAUAUAAAUAAUUUUUUUCUUCUACAAACAGUAGAAAAAUCCCAACACUACAAAAUUUCAGAGCAUCCAAACAGGCCCUUUUAAUACAUAGGGCACAGACAAUUCUCAAGUCAUAAUCCAAAUUCCCAAAUGCCUUCACCUGAUGGUUUGAUUUGUAACAACUUGAUAAAAUUGCGUAGAGCUAACCUAAACUUUGAACGGUUUGGAAAUAACUAUCUGAAUUGAAAAUUUUCCAUGCAUGAUCUGCUCAUCUGCCCUCCAUUGCAUUUAGCAAAUAAUCAUUUUUGAGAAAAUGACGGUAGGUUGCUCGCUUCGUUAAUUGAGGUCUUGUUUGGAUAUCUAAAUAACUUAUUUGGUACGAGAGUUUUUUAGUAUGGUCAUAAUUAAAAAAUUUGAUUUUUGUUUCUGCAAAAAUAUUUGCUAUCCAUAAUUUGGUAAUAUAGCAUUUUUCAUUUGCAAAAUAAUAUAUUUUAUUUUGAAAAAAAAAAUAAAAAGCCGAAUAUAAUAUUUCGAGUCCGACUAUGAUGCUUGUCAAAGCAAUAAGUACUUGAUGGUUGUAAAUUUUCCACCGUUAAAUCUAUCAUUUUGACCAAUUUCAUCUCUUAUAUUAUGUUAUUCUACCAACCAUUCUACUCAAUUUUUGGAGAUCACUAUGAUUCUAAUCAUACAAAUCUGCAUCCAAAGGUCAAAAACUUACAAGCAUCAAUCACUUAGGGGCUGUUUGGUUGCAUGUAGUUGUAACCGCACGACUGUUAUAACUAUAUGCAAAUACAAAUUCGGUGUUUGGUUUGAUAUAUUUAACUCCAAUUGCUGUAGUAAGAACUGCAGGAGGAGGUCCAAAUGCAGCUGUUGAAACUAUGCCCAAAUUGGCCGCAGUUCCAACUGCAACAGUUGGAGAGUGUAACUUUAAAUAAAAGAUUGACUGUUCCUAGAGCAAGUGGCAAAGCGCUUGAUGGUUGGUACUCGAGACCCAAGUUCGAAUCCUAGUUGAUUCACAUUUCUAGCUAAGUUUAUUUCUAAAUGAAAUAAACGAAGUGGGUAGCGUGCUACCUAUCUCUCAAAAAAAAAAAAAAAUUUAAUAAUAAGGUAACCUUACCUUUUAAAAUAUUUUUUAAGCAAAUAAUAAAAUUUUUUUUAAUUGGGGUCGUUUGUCUGCGCUGCUAUUUUUAAAUCCGACCUAGUAUCAAUGGAAUAAAAAUAUGACGGUGUUCGGUUAAGCGACUAAGGUAAUCUAGUUGGUAAUAUUAGGAUUCACUAUGGGAAUAAGAUUGCACACAAAGUACUAAUCCAUGUCCCUUGAGGGAGGUGGGUAUCUUAUAUUAAUGGAUUGUGAUGUAUCAUAAUUAUACUAACACUUUUCUUCUUCCUACAGCCGCUAAUUGAUAUUAUUCUUAUCUACUCUAAUCUUAUAUCUCUCUAAUUAUAUUUCUCUAAAGUUCAACGUUUUUUAGCUCCUCCUAAACUAAGCUUUCUCUCUCUCUCUUUCUAAAAUUUCAACUCUCUCACUCCUUCUAAUUUCGACUAUAUUUUUCUUCCUAUUUUUUUAAUUAUGCUCUCUCUCUCUAAUUUAUACUCUCUCUCCCUUUUUUCUAAAAAGAUGUUGAAACUUUUGAUAACAUUGUCUAAAAUUAAUUAAAUAAAUAAAUUAAUUAAUUGUAUAAUUUUUGUAAUAUUAAAUAACAUGGCUAAUUAAUAUUACUGUGUGAACCAAACACAGGAAUUCCACAUUCUUAGUAAUAGAAUGAAUAGUAAUAAGAUUCUCGGAUAUCUUUUAUUCCUAGUAAUCUUUUAUAAUGCGAACCAAACGCACCCUGAAGGUAAUCUUACCAUUAUAUAUAUUAAAUGAUAAAAUUUUAAAAAUUAUUUCUCAACUGCAUGCAACCAAAUAAAUUAUUUAUAGUUACAGCGCUUUCCACUACAUCCAACCAAACAUGAUGCAUGUAGUUGUAAUUGCUGGAUUUCCAACUGCAUGCAUCUUCAAUUACAUUUAAAAGUAUAAGAACUCAAUUCUAAUAUUUUAUUCUUAAUAACGGAUGAAAAUUCUGUGCCCAAUUACACGAAUGCAUCAAGCAUAGCUGGUGAACUUAAAAUGGAAAAAAGCAACCCAACACCCCAUUUAUGGGUGGAUGAUUUAUCCUCAUUCAUUUAAUAGGUAAUUUUUUUUUAUUUGUCACAACAGGUAAUAAGUAAAAAAAAUCUCACCGUUUAGAUGAGUAAGAUAUACGAUAUACAAUAUUUUUGGACAGUAUGAAUAGUAUUGCUCAAUAAAAAUCCGUUCGCUUUUAAAACCAGUUUAUUAUUAAAAAAAAUCUACAGAAUUGCAAAGAGUAACAUCUUUUAAGCAAAUUUGUGUUCCGACAUAAGCGCAAGCCGAGAAUCGCGAGAGCGUUGCUUUAAUUCCACAUUUUUAAUAUUUUCUGAAAAACUCGAGAUAUUUCCAAUAAAGCCUAAUAACAUGAUGCAUCAGAGAAGAACAACGAAUUAUUUCGAGCAAACCAUGACAAAUUCAACAUAUAACAACAGCGAGGUUAAUUAAUUAUGCGAAAAGAAUCACCAGAAGAUGUAAGAGCGAAUCCACGAGCUUACAAGCAAGUCGCAAAUCGAACACGAUUUAAUUCGGAAAAAAAAAGAAAAAAAAAAUACGAUUCGGAUUGGAUUGAGAGAUAGAUUGAUCGAAUUGAAAGGAAAAGAAGAAAAGAGUGAAAAAAGAAGGGGAGAAAUUGGUCACCUUCGCCCUCAUCGGUGCCUCUCUCAAAGCUUCUCGCUCCUAAUAGAGAGCGGGGGGCCCUCCGUACCUGUUUCUGUAUUUGUAGAUCCAGGGUUUGUUUUGACCAGAGGAAAGAUAAAAGAAGAUGGGCCUACAUGGGCCGCAUAAGGUACAAAUUACAAGUGGAAAACAAUCAUUAAUGGGCCACAAUCGGUUCAUCGUGUUGUCUAGAAUGAAUGUUGUACCGGCCUGGCCCGAUAUUUAUUGGGAUCAACCCGCCAACUCUCAAUGAUUAGACAAGACAAAUCCCCGAGACACUAGUACGAGAACACGGAAAUGACCCAAAAUUCUAUUUUUUUUUUUUUUUUUUUUUGUCUUUAUUUAGAAUAUCGUAAGGAAUUCAGCAUCCACCAUUCUCCUUCAAAGAUUAUAUAUUGACAUACCCAUUUAUUACACACAGUUUAAAAACUUGUACAGUAUCACAAUCGAUGGUAGAGCUGCGGGGAGACCAAAGCAGAGUAUGUAGCCAUAUAUUUAUGCUUUAAUAGGAAAAAAGAGGAGAGAAAAUAGUACAUACCAAAAGUAGCAAAAGCAAUACAUAUACUUCAAACAAGACAACUCCCCAAAUCUAGACACGCUCGAAGCCUCCUCACCCAUGCACAGCCAUGGGCAUGCGUUCACGCGCGAUUAACGUUUGCUUUCGAAUUGAGGACGACGUAAGCCUUCGCCGCCAGAGCUAACAGCGGGACCAAGAACACAACGGCCAUCGCCGCGCGCUUGGCGAAUGCCACGGCACCACCGCCUCCGGAGCCGCCUGCGCUGUCACCUUCACCGGCAUCGUCACUGCCAUUGCUGACAAUCGGCUGAGGGAGGCGGAGGAAGAGGAGGAGGAGGAGGAGGAUGGCGAGGAAGAGGAGAAUGGUGAGGAAGAGGACGGCGUAGGCGACAGAGAGGGCGCCGGGAAGGGAUUUUGCUAUGGGGUAGUAGGUGGUGCUUCCCACGAUCACCGUCUCCGUUAUCGCCCCCACCACGGCUUUAAUGGCGUUGGAGCUGUCGACGUUCAUUGUAACGGCGUUGGAGCUGUCGACGUUCAUUGUGACUAACCUUGCAACUAUAUGUGUAAGGGUGUGGAGGUAUUUAUAGUGUGAGAGAGGGGCCCACGAAGUGCGUUUGUAGCAAGGUCAAGCGAUGCGUUGGGAGGAGGAACGCGUAGGGAACAAAGUCUUUUGCUAAAUAAGUACUGUAGCAAUGGAAAGAACUUGAGGAAUGGACUUGAGGAAGAUUUGCUAACUUUUUUUUUUGCUAACUUUUUUUUGCUAACUUUUUUCGCUAACUUUUUUUUGCUAACUUUUUUUGCUAACUUUUUUUGCUAAACAGGUACUGGAGCAAUGGAAAGAACUUGAGGAAAGACUAAACAGGUACUGUAGCAAUGGAGAGAACUUGAGUUUUAACUUUGACUUCAAAGUCUUUUGCUAAAUAAGUACUGUAGCAAUGGAAAGAACUUGAGGAAUAUUUGCUAACUUUUUUUUUUGCUAACUUUUUUUGCUAACUUUUUUCGCUAACUUUUUUUUGCUAACUUUUUUUGCUAACUUUUUUUUGCUAAACAGGUACUGUAGCAAUGGAAAGAACUUGAGGAAAGACAAAACAGGUACUGUAGCAAUGGAAAGAACUUGAGUUUUAACUUUGACUUUUUUUGCUAAACGUGAGUUUUAACUUUUGCUAACUUUUUUUGCUAAACAAGUACUGUAGCAACGGGAUAUUAUUUAUAUUAUUUGUAUAUGUACAUUAACAUAUUUGGAAAGAACUUGAGGAGAGACUAAACAUGUACUGUAGCAAUGUACAUUAACAUAUUUGGAAAGAACUUGAGGAAAGACUAAACAGGUACUGUAGCAAUGGAAAGAACUUGAGUUUUAACUUUGACUUUUUUUGCUAAACCGUUACUGUAGCAAUGGAAAGAACUUGAAUUUUAACCAUAGUUAGUUAAUUCGCGAAUUAUUCGCGAAUAAUUCGUGAAUUUUUUAAAACCCGAAUAAAACGGCCGUUUUCGUAUUUUUCCCAAAAAUUCAAAAAAAUUCGCGUUUUUUUGGGUAAAAAUAAUUAUUCGUGAAUUAAACGGGAUUCGCGAAUAAUUCGGCCCAAAAAAACGGCCCGGUUGCUGGUUGCUACCAGCCUGCGCGCGGAGUCACGGACGCGGACUCACGGGCCUCGCGGUCGCGGGUGGCCCAACCGCCCAAAACAGGAGAAAAAAAAAAAAACUUCGAACCAAACGCCCUGCCCUGUCGCCCAAAAGGCCAAAAAAUAAUAAUAAUAGUAAGAUUGAAUUUUAUUAUAUUAUUUUUUGAUCAUAUAUAUAUAUAUAUAUAUAUAUAUAUAUAUAUAUAUAUAUAGAGUCCGGUUACUAUUUAUGCUGAUCGGUAGCACGGACGCUCGUGCUACCAAGUUGUUUUCGAUGAUGUGGCUUCCAAAUCGACGAUCGCUCCGUUAGACUUGAUCUACACUAUUGAAAGUAUUUGGAAACUAAAUUUCAGAUUUUUUCGACAUCAUUGAUACGUGAUCAAAAGAUCUCAAAAUUGACAAGUUUAAAUGGCCGGAUGUGGUGUGUUUGUGAGUUUAACGGUGUAAACAAUCCAAAUGCGAUGAAAAUUUUAUUAGAAAAUUCUUUUCAUUAUUAGAGUAAGAUCAGUAUAUCUGAUCUUGAAUUAAAUCUUUUAUCAUUAUUUUUCAUGAGAUUUUAUUUUCAGCGUUCAAUUUAGAAUACUUGUUUGAUAGGUAAAUGAUAUCAAAAAUUAUGAAAAUUAGUUUCUAAAUAUUUUAAUAUGUAGAUCAAGUCUAACAGAGCCGAUCGUCGAUUUGGAAGCCGCAUCAUCGAAAACAACUUGUAGCAUGGAGCGCUCCGUGCUACCGAUAGUAUAGUAGCCUAGUCUCUAUAUAUAGAGUCGGGUUACUAUGCUAUCGGUAGCACGGAGCGCUCCGUGCUACCAAGUUGUUUUCGAUGAUGUGGCUUCCAAAUCGACGAUCGGCUCCGUUAGACUUGAUCUACACUAUUGAAAGUAUUUGGAAACUAAAUUUCAGAUUUUUUCGACAUCAUUUGACUAGUGAUCAAAAGAUCUCAAAAUUGACAAGUUUAAUGGCCGAUGUGGUGUGUUUGUGAGUUUAACGGUGUAAAACAAUCCAAAUGCGAUGAAAAUUUUAUAGAAAAUUCUUUUCACUAUUUAGAGUAAGAUCAGUAUAUCUGAUCUUGAAUUUAAAUCUUUUAUCAUUAUUUUUCAUGAGAUUUUUAUUUAGAGCAGAGCUACUUAUAAGUUUGAACAAGUGUGAAUUGAAAUGACGCAUCAUAUAUAGUCACAAUAAAAUCGUACUUUUUAAAUUAAAUCAUAUUCUACAGCAGAACUAAACAUACUACAUAAGCCGGAUCAAACCUAAAGCCUCAAGUGCUCAAGCUCUUAUCAACAUUCUACAUUUCAGCGUCUCCAAAUUGUAAUGCUUCGGCCCUUUUAAUUUGUACUAUAUGGACAAAAAUAUUAGGUAAAAAUGUAUAUAAUUUAUGUAAUAUAAGUAUUAUUUCGAUUCGACUAUUCAACCUUUCAAAAUUUUAAUUAUUCUACAGUAAUCCUUCAAUUUAUUUGAUUUGAAUAAGUUAAUGGCACUUUGACUAUAAAAAUUGAAUAUAUUAUUUAUUAUUAUAAAUUUAGUUAGUAUAUUUUAUAUAUUUCUUACAACUAUAAAUUUAUUAAAAUAAUUAGAUUCAAAUUUAAAAUUAAAGUGACGCUGACUAACUCAAAUCAAAUAAAUUAAAAAAAUUAGACUGUAAAAUUAUAGUUUUAAAAAAUUAAAUAGUUAACUUAAAAUAAUUUAUAAUUUAUAUCAGUUGUGUAUGUUUUUAUCAAAACACUAUAUAAAAAGUUGAUAAUCGACCAUAGCGCGUAGGGAAUGUCUUCGUGUGAUGUGAUGUAGGUCAUCUUGUCACCCCCUCCACACCUGCUUUUCUAAUCCACAGCUGGAGUUGUGUUUGUCUCCCACGAGGCCACGAGACCGACCGUUCUUAGGGCAUGUUUGGUUCAUCUAUUUUAAACUAUAAAAUCGAAAUGAAAUUUAUUGAUUCCGAUAAUUGCUGUUUGUUUUAUAGGAAUCGAAUUACGAUUUUCAUUCCACUCCGGAAUGGAAAUGGCCAAAUCCAUUUAUGAUCCAAUCCAACUUUGAAUUCCGGAUUGACUCAUUCCAAAGUAUACUAUUCAAAAUCCUCUUUCAUUAACACCUACCUCCUCUCCCUUCAUCAAUUUCCUCUCUCUUAAUUAAAACCCUCUCUAAAAAAUUUUAAAUUUUCAUUCCGAUUUCCAUUCCAGUAAUGAACCAAAUAUUUUUGGAUGAUUCGUCAUUUCAUUUUCCAUUCCAAAGCAAUUCAAUUCCAUUUCCGACUUCUAUUCCAAUCAUGAACCAAACAUGCCCUUAGAGUAAGUGGCAAAGAAUUUGAUGGUUGGUAUCUGAGAUCCCAAAUUCGAAACCUAGUUGAUUCACAUUUCCAGCUAAGUUUAUUUCUAAAUGAAAUAAACUAAGCGGGUAGCAUGCUACCUAUCUCUUAAAAAAAUAUAUAUAUAUUAAAAAAAUGUGCUGAUACAAAGAGCGUAUUUAUAAUACUUAAGGACUCAGUCAUAGCACUCGCGGGUUUCGACCUGGCUCAACCCAUCUAGAUAUGGAAUUUAUUGUUGGGCCUUUUGCCGUUAGACCUCUUAUGGACCGCAGCCCCACUUAACUUAUUAGCCUCACUAAACUCAAUUUAUUAGUCUUUUGGGCUUAUUAUCACGCGGCAGAAAGUUAAACCUAUUUUAGCCCAAUAAUAAAUAGUCAACAUUUUUUUGCCACAAAUAUUUCACGUAGAAACAAUAUUAUUCAGUUAUACAUUUUUAUCUUAAAUAAAA
rnacentral:lncRNA from 1 species